rnacentral:rRNA from 1 species
AUUAACGCUAGCGGCAGGCAUAAUACAUGCAAGUUGAACGGCAGCACAGGUAGCAAUACUGGGUGGCGAGUGGCGCACGGGUGCGUAACACGUAUGCAACCUACCCUAUACAGGCGAAUAACCUUUAGAAAUGAGGGCUAAUACGCCGUGGUAUUAUCUUGGGGCAUCUUGAGAUAAUUAAAGAUUUAUCGGUAUAGGAUGGGCAUGCGUCCCAUUAGUUAGUUGGUAGGGCAACGGCCUACCAAGGCUAUGAUGGGUAGGGG